AGGUUAUGACAGACAGAAGGGGCCAUGACAAGUCCUUGAAUAAAAAGGAUUAAGCCACACAGAAUUUACCAUUGUCAGGGCAAGCAAAAACUUUGUGACAAAAUAAUUUUUUUUGGAGGGAGGUGUUACGUACCCGUGACAUGUGACAGGUGUUGAAGCUAUACUGGACUUGAGGUAACAGUCUUGUGAUGGUGGAGUGACAUCAUUUUCCCACCAGUAGAGGUCAUGUGACAGGUUUUUUGUUACAGGGUAUAAAAGGAGGACACCUCCCUGUGAGGAGGGGCAGUUCGUGGCUGGAUUGCCAUGUUGA